CAUCUGUUUAACACGAUAAUAUAAAAUUAUAUAUUUAUCACUCAAGGUUAUAAACAAUCACCACGACGAUUGUCAUUGAUAGUUAAGAUCAUUUAAAAAUGACGAAUGAUGAUUGCGAUCGUAUAAUUAGCUUUCAAGGCCAUAAGAUUCAAAAGCCAUAAGAUCAUCGAGAUCGUAAUUGGUAUCCAAAGUCAUUCGAAAAUCAUAGGCAUCAUCGUGACAUUAAGAUUUAUAAUCAUUUGAGAAAUUAUGAUGUAUGUGUUUUUUAAUAUUCAUGGCCAUCUUGACUAUCAAAACUAUUCAAAGGUUAUGCGAGCUAUCGAAAACGUGUUCAUUAACGAUCUUAUGUGUAUUACAAUAAAUAUCAUCGAAAAUAGUCAUCAAAGUUGUGUUAUUACGCGUUAAAAUAUUUAAUGGGAUAUACGAAUAUUAAAAAUAAUCAUCAAACUCGUAUCGCUAAUAGUCGAAGUAAGAACAAUUUUGUCAAUUGUCAUCGAAAUUUUCUAAAACACGUAUGAAUAACGAUGCGUUAUCGAUGGAUGAUGGUUGAUUAAUAAUUUUGAACAGCAACGAAUUUGAGAGACUCUGGUUUGAGAGUUGUUGGAGAAAUUGCUCAAAGAUGAUGUUGCAAAAAAAUACGUGUAUCGUCACACGUUUGUGCGUAUGUAUAUAUACAAUAAGAGGUGGAGGAUAUGAUAAGAAAUUAUCAUUCGGAGGCACGAACGACGAGCCCACACAAUUAUUCAGAUUUCUUUAUCAUCCCUUAAUUCACGCUUGUCACAAACACCGACACGCAUGAGAAAUUUUUAAAUAUACGAAGAAUAAAAUAAUAAUAUGCGAAUACAGUAAAGUGAUUACAUUAUAUUAUUCAAAUGAAAAACACGGGUGUAUAUGUAUGAUAUAUGCUUCGUUUACUUCGUAUUAUUAUAUACAUUUAUGAAUACAUUACGUGUGUAACUUGCGCGCAUUAUAUUUAAUUUUUCGUUAUAAAUUAUUAAUGCAUUUAGUCGUAAUCUCACUUUGUUAUUUAUUAUAUUUAUAAUUAAUUUCGAUACAAGGUUACGCGAUAAUUGGACUUAUACGUGAUAGAAUAAUAUUUUAUUUCGAUAUGAAAAUUCAUUCGUUCGAACAAUAAUGGAUCGUUUUAAAUCUUAUUUAAUUUUGCGAUUACGAGGAUUCGUCGUCAGUGUCACGUGGUCGUUCGAAUUUAUAGGAAAUGUAUUUGCAUAAAAUGUAGGUAUAGGAGCGUAAAAAUCGAGUUGAAAAGCAGAUCGAGGCCGAGUUAUAGACGUUGGUGGCGGUGGCGGUGGCGGUUGCGGCCGUGGGCAUCGUUUUUGCGCGGGAAAGGUAUUUUCGUUCGGCGGAUCCGCUUUGUUGGUCCGCGCGUUAAAAUAUCUUUGUACGUUAGAAAGUGUUUGCGGCCGGGAGAUAUUUUAGGAGGCGAAAACGUUUCCACGGUGAGGUGAGGUCAACGGUGUCGCAGCGUAAAGAAGGAAACUACGAGUGAUAAAAAGGUCGUAAUGCAUGUUAAGUGCGGAAUUUCUGAUACGAUAAUAAACAUCCGACAACGAAAUUCACAAUCGUUCUCUGUGUGUACACCGCUUGACGGAUGCGAUGUAAAGUGAAAAUAAUUACCGGCUACGGAUUGAAAAUAAAAUACGGAGAUGAAAUAAAAGCAUUCGCGUUUCUCCGUUUCUCCGCAAACUAUCGAUGUACCUAGUAACGAAAGAACAAAACUUGUUCUUAUUCAUAGGCGAUAAGAAUGAUUACGCGCAAAUGACAGCAGACUCAUUGAUGUACAGUCUGUGUAUAUGAAAAUAAAAAAAAAAAGUACUGGUAAUAAAGCAGAGUGGAGAAAUCAGUGGAAAUAGUAAAUAAUCGACCAGAUGUGAAGAACGUUGUCGAGAGGCUCGCAGAUGAAUAAACGCGAACAACACGUGGACUGAAAACGAGAUCCGUGAUAAAUGGAAAUGCUAGGAUAGAAUUCAAGGAUAAUGCUAUAAAUCUCACUUUCUUAAUUUUUUCGCAACUUUGCGUUUCUUUCUCGUUAUUUACUUAUUAUCGAGAGAGAAAAGUACAAGUAAAUUGUAAGGAACGCAUUCGAUUUCUUUAUCUUGGAAUAUGUGAAAAUCUUGUACACAGCUGUCCUCGACCGAGUCUUCGAAAUGAUCGAAAACAAGCCGACGAGCACAGAUGUGCGAUCGCAAACUGAAAUGCACGUGGAAAAAUAAAGUAUGACUCAUACUCGAUAUUCAAACGUGGAUCGUGCAAAACGAAUAAUGCCACGUACGAAAACUUUUAUCACGUUCAGAUUUCAACCAAAUACUUUGUAAAUAAUCACUUGCGUCAAUCUGCUCGAGAUUUUAGAUUGUAUACUAUUAGCGUGGUAAAUCAAAAAGAUAUUCUUGUUGUGGAAGAUAAAUGUAAAGCUAACUUUAUACGAGAUAAAAAAAGAAGAUACAAAAAGAAGAUAAAUCCAUUUAUAACAACUUUAAGCAAAUUUUUGUUUUAACGCAUCACUUGACGUAUAUUGAGUCUUAUAAUUCGAAAAAGUGUCAAAAGUUUGGAUCUUUUUCUUGCAAGCUUUUUACAUAAUAUUGUUAUGUCCAUAUUACAUCAUUAAAAAAAAAUAGAGAAAAACAGUAAUAAUAGUAAUAAAUUGCAAAUAAUAAAUUACUCGAUUCAAGCUUAUUCUAGUACACCGCAAAAAUUAUUAUAUUUCAUUUUCGUAUUAAAAUUUUUUUUUAUCUAAUAUAUUUUUACUUAAUAUGAUUAAACAUGUCGAGAAAAAAUCAAAAUUAUCGAAAUGA